GAAAAUUUGUUAAAGUUUUAUAUUAAGGAAAAAUAAUAUUAAUGUAAAUUUUUUUUUUCUUUUUAUAAUUUGAAGCUAUUAUAUAUUAUACUUAGUUAUGAUUAAUAAGUGGCAAAUAAAGUGCCAGCAGUCGCGGUCAUACUUUUUCUUUUUUUAAUAAAAUAUAAAAAUAUACAAAUAAUUGAAAUAAUUAAGUAAAAUUAAUUGAAAUAAAUAUAAAAAGGGAUUAGAUACCCCUGUAUAAGGUAUAAAAUGUAGUGAUUAAAAUAUAUAUAACUAGACGGUUAUUUUUUUUUACAGAGAGUCUUGCGAUUUAAUACGAUAUUCCCCGUUAAUUAAUUUUAUAUAAAUGUGUGUAUGUCCGUUAUUAAUUACUAUAAUAGGAUUAACUUAUGUUUUAAAAUUUUUCAGGUACCAUUCACUAUAUAAAACAUUUAGUGAGACUCAAUAUUUUUAAAAAUUUAUAUUAAAGAGAAUUUGUAAGUAAAAAAAAAAUUUAAAAGUUUUUUUGAAUAGUAAUUAGAGUACUCACCGCCCGCCAUGUGUAUUUUACAUAAAGGCGUAACAAGGUAGUUUAUCUAGAAAGAUAAACUGGU
rnacentral:rRNA from 1 species